UCCUUCAAUCGGCUGCCAAUUCGAAAAAAUAUAUUUAUCCCCAAUUUCGAAUUAAAUCUAACGCCGGGCCCGGGGUUUCAAACCUUUUUACGAUUUUAGGUUGUUCAGAAUGUUGAAUGUUGACAGCCAAGAGGACCUCGAUGUCGAUCGAUCGCUUGAGUAAUAGACCCAGUAAGCAAGAGGAGUAGUGGUCGGCUUGAAUGCGAAUGGCGAACGGUUAUGCUAUUUUCUUUCUUUUUAGAUUAGUCACGGUAAAUUAUUGUUUUACUGCGUUUUUUUGUUUUUUUAUUCCAGUGGUUAACGUCACUUGACUAACACCUUCCUCAUAUUCAACAUCUUCUUUCCAUCACGUGCACUACACAUGGGCGUGCACAUCCACGGCCGUGCACACAAGACACUCCGGUUUGAUCAGAAGACGCUCAACCAAAAGUAGUUAAAGUAACUCAUAAAACUGUUGUUUGAUGUUAAAUGAAGGGUACGUAACAGAAGAUAUAUGCAUGUUGUUUGAAUUUUCACCUUCAUCAGUUGCAGUACUAGAGAUUGAUCUGGUUUAUGAAAAUCAAAUGGUAUUGUAAGUCUUGCGGUCUCUUCAUCAAUGAUCCUUCUGGGUGUGAUAUGGACUUAUCGUGAAGUAAAAAAGACUUGGUUGAAGGACAGGGCAAGUUUUGUGUUUGUGUGACGAUCUUGGAAGAGCCCCACUUGGAGUUCUUGAGGAUGUGAAUGUUUUUGUUUCAUUCAGUUUGAAUACAAUUCAAGAACGUAACUUUUUGAGCAUGACACAUCAACGCCGGCCACCCCUUGAUUGAAUGAUUGAUAAAUCAAUCACGCACUGUCAUGAGGAGAGACAUUAUAGUCCUACAAGCCCAUCAGAUAAUUGAUUUUUACGCAAGUUUGUCAAAACUUUGAGCGCUUCCGUGAUAUCGAUUUUCAAUUUCUAUUCAUAAAUGAAAAAGAAUAGUUAAGAAAAAGUUAUUAGAUCAGAUAAUAAUUUAACUUGUUGAAACUAACCUCAUCAAGUUUUUUCUUUUCUGAUUCAUCAUUUACUGUUCGUAAAGACUAUUGCUUGCAAACAGGAACAGCUCGCAAGAACAAUGCCUCAGCCAACGCUGUUUUAUGUCUUCUGUGUCGCUGCUAUAAUAAUAUGUGAAAUUGAUUAAUAACCUCCAAGUAGUAAUUAUAACAAAACAAAAUUAAAAGAAUGAAAGACAUGAAGUCCAAUAUAUUAACGAAAACGAAACUUGUCGAAAAAAAAAAAAAAAAGAAGCAAUCACUGAGAGUAAGAUUGGAAAAUUUUGCUCCAGGAUGGAUAGACGUGCUUCAAACGUUGUUCGGGUCUGUGAUUAGAAUUAACAGAUGUGGUGAUGUCGAUGUGAGUCUGCUUCAUCAAGAUUUGAGGGGUAAAAAGAAAGACAUAUUUUACAUACUUGUUUCGACCAAAAGAUAGGAAAUGUCUCUUAAAGAAUUGGAACAACUCGUCAUCGGUAGUGGUUCUCUGUUUGCAAAGAAAAGAAAGAUGCUUGAUGAGUCUAUAGAGCUGCAUUGUUCCUAUAGAUUUGUAGUGAAGUAAUUUCUAACACGUGUGUUAUUAGGAUAAGACAAAAUAAAAUGAUAAUGAAUUCAAUCGUUGAAGAUGCAGUUAAAGAGAUUGAAAAGCUUGAAAAUCAUUUCAUACUUACUAUUUGAUGUCUCUCAGAAGAUCUGUGGUUAAAAACGAAGUGAUUUGUUUCAUCUAUCAACUACCUCUUUACAACGAUAAUGGAGACAAGACAAUUAAGACGAUAUGUGGUUGCUGCUUUCACGAGACAUGUAUGAUGAAAUGAGUUAAGAGGAAAGGGAAGAGCGAAUUCUCGUGCCCUAAGUGUAGGGACAAGUACUUUGUCCAGCUCUGUUUUUGAGUAUGAUGAUUAGCCUACAUAAUGAUAAGCUUGAGGAUUACUGAUCAUUAGGUCGUAUAUUCAAGACAUCUAUACGGUAUGGGAUGUGUAGGCUUAUAUGUUUUUUAUGUAUGGACUAAUCAGCAUGUAAUGAGUAGAGCGAGUUCAUUAGCAUACAUACAUCAAAUUUUUGUUAUGUAUAUAAACAUAAUAUUUGAUAACUUGAUUGUGUGACGUAGUUAAAAAUAACCUUAUAAGGUUCGACCUUACUAAGCGUAAACUCACCCUUAUAGAUUCUUGUUCAGGUGCGUACAAGGUUUACGAGGUAUGACGUGUCUUUUAAGAAGUCUAACUGUGAUGUCUAGCUGACGUGUAGAGAGCAGAAAAGAGUUACGUUUGUUUCUAGUGAGCUAGAUCGUAAGACCAGUUUUGUCUUUGUAAUUAGUUUUGUUAUUGUAAAUGUUUUAUUUUCAACAAUGUCUACAAAAAUAUUUAAAUUUGUUUUGUUUUCUCUUUCUUUUCUAGAUCACGCCUCAGAUUCGGUGUUAAGUGCUUAGAAACCACCGACAUCGGAUUUGGGGUGUGACACCACUGGUUAAAUUUGACAACCAGUUUGCCAUCUAAUAUUACAACACCACAAUUCAACCCAAAAUUUCAAAAAUAACAGUGAAAAUCCAUGACAAAAAAGAACCAAAAGAAGAGAAACAAAGAAACAAGAACAAAAAAACGAAGUGAAGAACACUUUGACUCAGAAAACAAGUAGACUAGCUAAGGCAUAAUUUGAUGAAAUUGAAGCAAAAUCACGCCUUAAUCAAUCAACCCUUGAGUAGAAACACUAAGAAUUGCUAGAAACUACAACAAAUUCACACAAAUUUCGCCACAAUUGUAGCUAAAAAGAAUUUUUUUAAAAGAGGGCAAUUCAUCAUACCUUGAGAAUUAGACAACGAAUGGUAUCAUGUAAUCACCUUGAACAUGUAUAAAUGAGGAUGAAGGGAGGAAAUUUGAGCUAAGGUUAUUAGAAGAUGAAGAAAUUGGGAGGAGAGGAAGAAUGGGAG
rnacentral:lncRNA from 1 species